GGACGGUUAGCUCAGCGGUAGAGCACUGCAUUCACAUUGCAGGGGUCACAGGUUCAAAUCCUGUACCGUCCACUA
rnacentral:tRNA from 1 species